UACGGAGGGUGCGAGCGUUGUCCGGAAUCAUUGGGCGUAAAGGGCGCGUAGGCGGGCUGUCAAGUCUGGGGUGAAAUGCCGCGGCUCAACCGUGGAACUGCCUUAGAUACUGACGGCCUCGAGGAAGGUAGGGGCAUGCGGAACUGUAGGUGGAGCGGUGAAAUGCGUUGAUAUCUACAGGAACUCCGGUGGCGAAAGCGGCGUGCUGGACCUUUUCUGACGCUGAGGCGCGAAAGCUAGGGGAGCAAACGGG
rnacentral:rRNA from 1 species